rnacentral:SRP_RNA from 1 species
GCCAGGCGUGGUGGCUCACGCCUGUAAUCCCAGCACUUUGGGAGGCCAAGGUGGGUGGAUCACCUGAGGUCAGGAGUUCGAGACCAGCCUGACCAACAUGGUGAAACCCCAUCUCUA